rnacentral:rRNA from 1 species
GGGGGGGGGGGGGGGGGGGGCGGGGGGAUGGGGGGCGGGGGGGCGGAGGGGAGGCGGGCUUCUGUGGGGUUAGCGGCGGGCGGGUGAGGAACACGUGGAUAGCCUACCUGUAAGACGGGGAUAACUUCGGGGAACCGGAGCUCAUACCGGAUGAUAUUUUGAACCGCAUGGUUCAAAAGUGAAAGCCGGUCUUGCUGUCACUUAUAUAUAGAUCCGCGCUGCAUUAGCUAGUUGGUAAGGUACCGUCCUACCAAGGCAACGAUGCAUAGCCGACCUGAGAGGGUGAGCGGCCACACUGGAACUGAGACACGGUCCAGACUCCUACGGGAGGCAGCAGUAGGGAAUCUUCCGCAAUGGGCGAAAGCCUGACGGAGCAACGCCGCGUGAGUGAUGAAGGUCUUCGGAUCGUAAAACUCUGUUAUUAGGGAAGAACAUAUGUGUAAGUAACUGUGCACAUCUUGACGGUACCUAAUCAGAAAGCCACGGCUAACUACGUG